GGCUCGUUGGUCUAGGGGUAUGCUUCGGGUGCUAGAGGUCCCGGGUUCAAAUCCUGGACGAGCCC